rnacentral:rRNA from 1 species
AGAUUGAACGCUGGCGGCGUGCUUAACACAUGCAAGUCGAGCGGUAACGCGGGAGCAAUCCUGGCGACGAGCGGCGAACGGGUGAGUAAUGCUUGGGAAUCUGCCCAUUAGUGGGGAACAACCAGCCGAAAGGUUGGCUAAUACCGCAUACGCCCUACGGGGGAAAGCGGGGGAUCGAAAGACCUCGCGCUAAUGGAUGAGCCCAAGUCGGAUUAGCUUGUUGGUAGGGUAACGGCCUACCAAGGCGACAAUCCGUAGCUGGUCUGAGAGGACGACCAGCCACACUGGGACUGAGACACGGCCCAGACUCCUACGGGAGGCAGCAGUGGGGAAUAUUGGACAAUGGGGGCAACCCUGAUCCAGCGACGCCGCGUGUGUGAGAAGGCCUGCGGGUUGUAAAGCACUUUUAGUGGGAUGAAAAGCUCAGGGUUAACACCUCUGGGUCUUGACCUAACCACAGAAAAGCACCGGCUAACUCUGUGCCAGCAGCCGCGGU